rnacentral:rRNA from 1 species
GAUGAACGCUGGCGGCGUGCCUAAUACAUGCAAGUCGAGCGAACAGACGAGGAUUUUGCUCCUCUGACGUUAGCGGCGGACGGGUGAGUAACGGGUGGAUUACCUACCUCUUAGACUGGGAUAACUUCGGGAAACCGGAGUUCAUACUGGAUAAUAUAUUUAACGGCAUGGUUCAAUAGUUAAAUACGUUUUUGCUGUCACUUAUAGCUGGCUCGGCGCCGCAUUAGUUAGUCGGUAAGGUAAAGGCUUACCAAGGCAACGAUGCGUAGCCGGCCUGAGAGGGGGAGCCGCCAUGCGGGAACGUAGACACGCAUCAGAACCCGAAGGCAGGCAGCAGUAGGGAAUGUGGCAGCAUGGGCGAAAGCCGGACGGAGCAACGACGCGUGAUGGAGGAAGGUCUCGUGAGCGUAAAACUCUGUUAGGUGGGAAGAACAAUUGUGUAAGUAACAAGCCACGUCGUGACGGUACCUAAACAGGAAGCCCCGGCUAACUACGUG